rnacentral:rRNA from 1 species
AGAUCAAAUUGUUGGUCGUGCCUUGGUACGUACUGAUAUUAUUGAUUUCUCCCUUCUGAAGAACCAUGAUGUCAUUAAUUUGGUGUCAUGGGGAAUCAGGACUGUUACUUUGAAAAAAUUAGAGUGUUUAAAGCAGGCUCGCGCUUGAAUACAUUAGCAUGGAAUAAUGAAAUAGGACGUUCGAUCUUAUUUUGUUGGUUUCUAAGAUUGACGUAAU